CACUUUGCAAUCGCCAUUUUUGUUUUGGAAACGAAGCGAUUCGGCGCUUAUUAUCUUACCAAAAUCGUAACAACGUAAUCCAGGAAAUAAUUGAAAUUGAAUUCGGAGCUAGCAUUAAAAAGUAACAUCUGACAGCAUAAACAAUUUGGAGGUAACGGGAGGACGCAAAAUAGGACACAAAGUGCUGUUUUCUGAUGCCUUCGAUUGCCGACCAAUCAGUUGUCCCUGACCUAAAAUAAGCAAAAGUAUUGUGGUCCAGCAAGAAAAAUAACAUGGAUUUACUUAUAAUGAAUUUAAUUAUGUUAUUUGUAAUAUAUUAUAAAUAAUAUGACUAUUUGUAUUAUAAUGUGUAAUUA